rnacentral:rRNA from 1 species
UAUUUUAAAGAGAGUUUGAUCCUGGCUCAGGACGAACGCUGGCGGCGUGCCUAAUACAUGCAAGUCGAACGAACGGAGGAAGAGCUUGCUCUUCCAAUGUUAGUGGCGGACGGGGGAGGAACACGUGGGCAACCUGCCUGUAAGUUGGGGGUAACUCCGGGAAACCGGGGGUAAUACCGGAUGAUAAGGUGGGGGGCAUGCCACGCUUUUGAAAGAUGGUUUCGG